CCAAAAGUCUUUCCACAGGAAUUUAAGGAUACACUGGCUUAGGAGUUUAAUCUAAAUUGUUCAGGAUUAACUACAAAAAAUAAUCACGAUCAUUUUAUUCAGUGAAUAAUGGAUUUCCUUAAUCUGAUUUGAAAACUUGAUGCAACAGCAACACUUUCUGUAUUUUUACAUGUGGCAAAAAUGGGCUGAAAGAAAAAGUGUUCUGAUUAUGUGAUUUCACCUUUGAUAUCUUGUUUUCACAGCUUUCUAUAUUAUUUAAGGUGUACAUUUAUUUAAGAAACUACAAUUGCUCCCUGCUUUCCCCUUAUAGUGCAAGUAUCUAACAGAUUCUUGCUCCUUUUUUCAAUGGGGCAUGCAUUUGAUUUGUUAACAGAUGGUCUUUUUUCCUCUACAGUGCUAAUCAAACUUGGAUACAGUUGGAUUUGCAUGAGGGAAAAGCUGACAAGGCUGACUGAGCACAUCUGCUUAGCUGUUUCUUGCAGCCUCUGAGAAAUGACUCGAUAUUCACUUAAGGCUGAAAUGCUGGAAUUGGAGAGUCAAUAUGGAGGCAAAAACUUCAGCUUCUGUAAUCAACUUGAACAGAGCGGAUGCUCGUGCUUCUCAAAAUAACAUUGAGGUUGACAGCACCAGCUUCUUAUAACUGAUGAAUUGCAACAUUACCACUUAGCAGCACCUGAGCAACAUCCUGUCUGUGAAAAGCAAAGGCAACCAAUGAAUUUGACGAUAGCUGUAUGGAGGCUUUUCCAAAGACUGGAAAAAGUUCACACCAAUGUAAUGUGAAGCAUUCUUGCAGUAACAGUAUUAAAUAACAGUUUUAAACAAGGAUGGUAACAGGGUUUGGUGCUUCUUUGUACACCUCUGAAACCAAACUCUUUCAAGAAUAUCAGCAGUUUUACUUGAAGUCUGUAAAAGACAAGAAAAGUGCAGAAGUACUACAGGUAACUCUUGCCAGAAUAUUCUACGUAUAUCACUUCAGGAAGAUGGCUAUAUUUAUAAUCAAUCUUCACAAGUGAAAAUAUAUCAUCGUAAUUUUUUAGUAAGUUAUUUUCUUUCCCUUUCAAUAUCAGGUCCUCCUUAUAUUCUGAAAUGCAUUUACUAUAGCGCAUUUUUUGUUAGAGAUGAAUUCUGCAACAACUUGAGAUAAACACGAUGUUCUUCAUUUCUUAGUAAAUAUACAUUUCA
rnacentral:lncRNA from 1 species